GACGAACGCUGGCGGCGUGCCUAAUACAUGCAAGUCGAGCGGACGGAUGGGAGCUUGCUCCCAGACCGUCAGCGGCGGACGGGUGAGUAACACGUGGGCAACCUGCCUGUAAGACUGGGAUAACUCCGGGAAACCGGGGCUAAUACCGGAUAACUCUUUCCCUCACAUGAGGGAAAGCUGAAAGAUGGCAUCUCGCUAUCACUUACAGAUGGGCCCGCGGCGCAUUAGCUAGUUGGUGAGGUAACGGCUCACCAAGGCGACGAUGCGUAGCCGGCCUGAGAGGGUGAUCGGCCACACUGGGACUGAGACACGGCCCAGACUCCUACGGGAGGCAGCAGUAGGGAAUCUUCCGCAAUGGACGAAAGUCUGACGGAGCAACGCCGCGUGAGUGAUGAAGGUUUUCGGAUCGUAAAACUCUGUUGUCAGGGAAGAAAAAGUACCGGAGUAACUGCCGGUACCUUGACGGUACCUGACCAGAAAGCCACGGCUAACUACGUG
rnacentral:rRNA from 1 species